GACGUAGGGCGCGAGCGUUGUCCGGAUUUAUUGGGCGUAAAGAGCUCGUAGGUGGUUUGUCGCGUUGUUCGUGAAAACCGGAGGCUUAACCUUCGGCGUGCGGGCGAUACGGGCAGACUGGAGUACUGCAGGGGAGACUGGAAUUCCUGGUGUAGCGGUGGAAUGCGCAGAUAUCAGGAGGAACACCGGUGGCGAAGGCGGGUCUCUGGGCAGUAACUGACGCUGAGGAGCGAAAGCGUGGGGAGCGAACAGG
rnacentral:rRNA from 1 species